UCACUAUAAUGAAACAUUGUUCAAUGUGAUUAAUCACAUCAUCUAUAUAACAUAACUGUUUAACAAGUUUAGUUCAACCAAGUUAGGCAUAAACAAUGACGAAGAGUGAAGAUGUCACAUUGUGGGAUUUAUGUUGUAAACCGUUUACUUGAGGAAUUUAUCUUUCUAAAUGUUUCAUUGUGAGAUUGAGUUCUUGUAAUACAAGAAUAUGCGUUAAAGGAAUUUGUUUUCUUGGUGAAACAUUUCUUAAAUGUU
rnacentral:lncRNA from 1 species